AGCGCUGCAGGGCGAGGGCUGGCAGCCGCCGGCUGAAGGGAGAUGCGCGCACACACCAGUGCGGAGAGAGAGGGAGGAUGGAUGGAUGGAUGGAGCGAUGCACAGAGCCGAGAGGAGUGCCUCUCGCCAAGCCGCCCCCUCCCUUCCAUGUGACGCAGAUGUGCUCUGGGGCCAUCAGUGUGAAGAGACACAGGGAAAGGGAUGCUUCAGUCAUUCUCAUGCAAAUCUGCAGAUAAAGCCUCUCUCCUUGAGACAUGAUGGAUGUUUGGGCUGCUUCUGACUUCGUGAUUAAAUAGAAGAGCAUUUAUUUAUGGGAAAUCUAGUAAAAUUUAUAUAUAGUGAUGCUGAAUGUCUGUAUAGUACUUUAAUUUAUAAGGAACUGUCAAUGACAGUGAAGUCUUUAUUUGCAAUGCAUCUCAUUGUGUUGCAUCUUGGAAUACCAAAAUCAAAUAACUUUUUCAAGCUUCAGGGAUAAGUUACAAUAUUUCCUUUAGAAAUAAGUUGUUUAUUUAAGGAAAUAAUUAUUUCUGUUGCCCUUCCUUUUGAAAAGGUAAUUUUUGUUUUUGUAAUUACAUUUGCAUGUGUUCACAUUCUGUGUCCUACCAAGUUAAAAAAAAACAGAUAUUUGAGAACGUGGUGUUUUGUUUUGUUUUAUGUACUUAUUCAUUCUGUCAUUGAACUCCUUGGAGACAUUCAAAAACUGUCCAGAAGAGGCUCUGGAUAAGCCACUCUAGGUGACACUGCUUGAGUAAGAGAAUUGGAACAGAUGACCACCGGAAGUCCCUUCCAAUAAAAUCCAUUCUGUGAGUCUAUGAUUUUCUGUGUGUGCAUGUUUUUUCCCCUUUUAAUUACUUUAUAAUUCAAACGAGGUUAUUGUAAUUUCUUGAACAAUUACAAAACAUAGUCUUCUGUACAGAUUCCAUUAUACUUAUAAGAGUUAAAAUUAUAAUUUAGGAUCACAGAUUGCUUCUUUUUCCCCUUCAACAAAAUUUAAUUCAAAAACAAUACUUGUAUGGACACUAUGGUUUGUUGUUGUUUGGUUGUUUAUUAAAUGCUUUAAAAUGCAUUAACAGAAUCACAGAA